GACGAACGCUGGCGGCGUGCCUAACACAUGCAAGUGGAGCGACGAACCAGGCUUCGGCCUGGGGCAGAGCCGCGAACGGGUGAGUAACACGUGGGUAACCUGCCCCGAUGAUUGGGACAACCCGAGGAAACUCGGGCUAAUACCGAAUGUGCCCUCCGACCACAAGGUCGCUGGGGAAAGGAAGCUUCGGCCUCCGCAUCGGGAUGGGCCCGCGGCCCAUUAGCUUGUUGGUGAGGUAACGGCUCACCAAGGCGACGAUGGGUAGCUGGUCUGAGAGGACGAUCAGCCACACUGGGACUGAGACACGGCCCAGACUCCUACGGGAGGCAGCAGUGGGGAAUCUUGCGCAAUGCGCGAAAGCGUGACGCAGCAACGCCGCGU
rnacentral:rRNA from 1 species